rnacentral:rRNA from 1 species
AUUGAACGCUGGCGGCAGGCCUAACACAUGCAAGUCGAACGGUAACAGGAAACAGCUUGCUGUUUCGCUGACGAGUGGCGGACGGGUGAGUAAUGUCUGGGAAACUGCCUGAUGGAGGGGGAUAACUACUGGAAACGGUAGCUAAUACCGCAUAACGUCGCAAGACCAAAGAGGGGGACCCUCGGGCCUCUUGCCAUCGGAUGUGCCCAGAUGGGAUUAGCUUGUUGGUGGGGUAACGGCUCACCAAGGCGACGAUCCCUAGCUGGUCUGAGGGGAUGACCAGGCACACUGGAACUGAGACACGGACCAGACUCCUACGGGAGGCAGCAGUGGGGAAUAUUGCACAAUGGGCGCAAGCCUGAUGCAGCCAUGCCGCGUGUAUGAAGAAGGCCUUCGGGUUGUAAAGUACUUUCAGCGGGGAGGAAGGGAGUAAAGUUAAUACCUUUGCUCAUUGACGUUACCCGCAGAAGAAGCACCGGCUAACUCCGUG